rnacentral:misc_RNA from 1 species
UACGGAGGGUGCAAGCGUUAUCCGGAUUCACUGGGUUUAAAGGGUGCGUAGGUGGGUUGGUAAGUCAGUGGUGAAAUCUCCGGGCUUAACCCGGAAACUGCCGUUGAUACUAUCAAUCUUGAAUAUCGCGUAGGUAAGCGGAAUAUGUCAUGUAGCGGUGAAACGCCUAGAUAUGACAUAGAACACCAAUUGCGAAGGCAGCUUACUUCACGAUCAUUGACACUGAGGCACGAAAGCGUGGGGAGCAAACAGG